rnacentral:rRNA from 1 species
UACGUAGGAUGCAAGCGUUGUCCGGAAUUAUUGGGCGUAAAGAGCGCGCAGGCGGUCUAUCAAGUCAGAUGUGAAAUAUCCAGGCUUAACCUGGAGGGGUCAUUUGAAACUGGUAGACUAGAGUACAGCAGAGGAUAGUGGAAUUCCCGGUGUAGUGGUGAAAUGCGUAGAUAUCGGGAGGAACACCAGUGGCGAAGGCGACUAUCUGGGCUGAAACUGACGCUGAGGCGCGAAAGGCUAGGGGAGCAAACAGG